rnacentral:tmRNA from 1 species
GGGGCUGACUUGGAUUUCGACAGAUUUCUUGUCGCACAGAUAGCAUGCCAAGUGCUACUUGUAAAACAGCAACAAAAAUAACUGUAAACAACACAGAUUACGCUCCAGCUUACGCUAAAGCUGCGUGAGUUAAUCUCCUUUUGGAGCUAGACUGAUUAGAAUUUCUAGCGUUUUAAUCACUCCAUAACCUUAAGCUAGACGCUUUUAAAAGGUGGUUCGCCUUUUAAACUAAGAAACAAGAACUCUUGAAACUAUCUCAAGGUUUUAGAAAGUUGGACCAGAGCUAGUUUUAAGGCUAAAAAACCAACCAAUUUUCUAAGCAUUGUAGAAGUUUGUGUUUAGGACAAGAUUUUUGGACUGGGGUUCGAUUCCCCACAGCUCCACCA